rnacentral:rRNA from 1 species
CAAAAACAUCGCCUCUUGCUCAAUUAUAAGAGGUCCAGCCUGCCCAGUGACUUUGUUCAACGGCCGCGGUAUCCUAACCGUGCGAAGGUAGCGUAAUCACUUGUUCUUUAAAUGAGGACUAGUAUGAAUGGCCCCACGAGGGCUGCACUGUCUCCUUUUUCUAAUCAAUGAAACUAAUCUCCCCGUGAAGAAGCGGGGAUAAUUCUAUAAGACGAGAAGACCCUAUGGAGCUUUAAACAACUGAAACAUUUGCUUUUUUCCUCACCAUCUCCUGAGCUCUUUAUUUUACUCAAGCAUUUUUAUUUCUAGUUUUAGGUUGGGGUGACCACGGAGUAAAACUUAACCUCCAUGAAGAAAUGAAUAUUUUUAAGCCACAAACCACUUUUUUAAGCAUCAACAAAUUGACCUUCAUUGACCCAAUAUAUUGAUCAACGAACCAAGUUACCCUAGGGAUAACAGCGCAAUCUACUUCAAGAGCUCAUAUCGACAGGUAGGUUUACGACCUCGAUGUUGGAUCAGGGUAUCCUAGUGGUGCAGCCGCUACUAACGGUUCGUUUGUUCAACGAUUAAAACCCUACGUGAUCU